rnacentral:lncRNA from 10 species
AGUGAGAUCAUCCCUGAAGCAGUGACUGCCAGAGGAAGGCGAGAGACAUAUGGUGGCCUUACAGGAGAAGAACAUGUCUCAGAGAGCUCCUACUCCUCCAGUUUUGGCCCCAGAAUGAAACACAGGAAGAAGACCUGAAUUUGAUUUGCAUUUCAAAGUAGAACUGUCCCAGCUGACAUGAAGACUGAUGAAUAAGGAAUAAGUAUUUAUUGUUGUAUGUCACUGAUAUUUCUGUGGUCGAUUAUGUGUAGAAGAGCUGACUUGUACACUUACAUAAACUUGAAGAAGACUGAAUUUAGAAAUGGAGUUUCUGCAUAUGGUUAUGUCUGAGUAGCUCCAAGUGGAUCAUCCCUCCCACAGAUAACAACUCUAAACUCUGGACAAAAUAUAA